UACGUAGGGGGCAAGCGUUGUCCGGAAUCAUUGGGCGUAAAGCGCACGUAGGCGGUCCGCUAUGUCGGAUGUGAAAGCCUCGGGCUUAACCCGAGAAGGGCAUCCGAAACUGGCCGGCUUGAGUACGGAAGAGGGUCUCGGAAUUCCCGGUGUAGAGGUGAAAUUCGUAGAUAUCGGGAGGAACACCAGUGGCGAAGGCGGAGACCUGGGCCGAUACUGACGCUGAGGUGCGAAAGCGUGGGGAGCAAACAGG
rnacentral:rRNA from 1 species